GGCCGCCUGGCGAAAUGGCAUCGCGUCUGACUACGAUUACAAAAUCAGGAUCAGGAGAUUGCAGGUUCGAGACCUGCGGUGGUCA